UGAAAAUAUGGCUUUUAUCAAAGUAAGACUUGUUUAAAAUCAUCGAAAUGUCGAGAGCUGUUUGUUUUCUCUAUAGUAUAAUGCUGUUGUUGUUGCUAUGACGUUAUGUCUAGCCUGACAGUCGUUGCACACACUAAAACAAAACACUCCUGUGGAAAUACAGAAGUGUAGAUAACGUUUAGAAUGAUUUUAGCAAACCACCUUACACGUUUUAUUUAUUCAUUCUAAAUAUAAUGUUCCUCACUUUUGUUUUGUUUUUAGAUUUUGUGAGCUGUAACGUUAUCACUCACAUGAACUGAAGAUGGAGCAGCUAAAUUUAGGGUAAGUCGAUCUCUCAUAGUGUAUCUUUUUUUCUGCAGGUAACGUUAGACCGAGUCUACAAGCAGCUUUGGAUGAAUAAUGCAGUCUUGCUCUUAUUGAUUAACUUACCAAUGAGGCAGUGAAAUCCUCAAAAAGGAGACUGUCUUCGAUUUUAAAAGCUGCUCGAACAUCUAUGAAAAUAAAUGGAGAUGAGCAAGAAGAACAAAAGGAGGAAAUUGUCAAGCCUGUUGAGAAGAGGAGAAAUUCACGAAGAGUGAGUUUUGCCACUACAAAUAAUGUUCGAGUCUUUACAAAUGAUGCAAAGAGUGAAUCUCCUGUUCUGGCAUCCAUUCAAAACAUACAAGUUGGAGGAGAUAGACCAAAUGAAAAG